GAUGAACGCUGGCGGCGUGCCUAAUACAUGCAAGUCGAACGAACCGACCAGGAGCUUGCUCCUCUGACGUUAUCGCCGGACGGGUGCGUCACACGUGGAUAACCUACCUAUCCGACUGGGAUAACUUCGGGAAACCGGAGCUAAUACCGGAUAAUAUAUUGAACCGCAUGGUUCAAUAGUUAAAUACGGUUUUUCUGUGACUUAUAGAUGGAUCCGCCCCCCAUUAGCUAGUUGGUAAGGUAACUGCUUACCAAGGCUAGGAUGCGUAGCCGACCUGAGAGGGACGUCGCCUACACGGGAAGUGAGACACGGUCGAGACUCCGACGGUAGGCAGCAGUAGAGAAUCUUCCGCAAUGGACGAGAGGCUGACAGAGGAACGCCGCGUGAGUGAUGAAGGUGUUAGGAUCGGAAAACUCUGAUAGUAGGGAAGAAGAAAAGUGUAAGUAACUAGGAACGUAUUGACGGUACCGGAACAGAAAGCCACGGCUAACUACGUG
rnacentral:rRNA from 1 species